UUAUGGGACCUUCCAGAAGAGUCCUUCCUCGGCAGUCCAGUUCUCACAUAGCUUCAUUGCUUCUCUUUUCUUUCCCCAGGUCUGCCUCCAUUUUCACUGUCCUCCCUCAUUUUCCAAGAGCAGCAGAAAAUGAGUAAAUCUGUGGGGCCAGUGUCGUUCAGGGACGUGGCCGUGGACUUCACCCAGGAGGAGUGGCAGCAGCUGGAGCCCGAGCAGAAGACCACGUACCGGGACGUGAUGCUGGAGAACUACAGGCAUCUCGUCUCCGUGGGCUGUCACAUUAUCAAACCGGAAGUUAUCAUCAAGUUGGAGCAAGGAGAAGAGCCAUGGAUAGUAGAAGGAGAAUUCCUACCACAGAGUUACCCAGAAGAAGUCUGGAAAACCGAUGAUCUGGGAGAAAGAGUCCAAGAAAAUGAAGGCAGAUAUUCAAGGCAAACUGUAUCCAUCAACAACAAAACCCUGAUUGAAGAGAGAGGUAAUGUUCUUGGUAAGACUUUUAAUGUGGAAAUGAACCCCAUUCCUUCAAGAAAAAUGUCCUAUAAAUGUGACUCGUGUAAAAAGAGUUUGAAAUCUAUUGCAGAAUAUAUUAGUAGUGACGGCAGCUAUGCAAGAAUGAAGCCUGAUGAAUGUAGUGCAUGUGGGAAACCACUUCCCCGCAUUAAACUCGAGAAAACUCAUCCAGGAGAUGAAUCUUACAAAUUUAAUCAAAAUGGGGAAGCUUAUAGUCUAAAUGAAGAAAGUAUUUUUCAGAACAUUCAUAUUUUGGAGAAACCUUUUGAAUAUAUUGAAUGCCAGAAAGCCUUUCAGAAGGAUGCAGUUUUUGUUAAUCACAUGGAGGAGAAGCCCUAUAAGUGGAAUGAAUCUGAAAUAACCUUUCUGCAAAUGUCCAACCUCAGCGUACACCAGAGAUCACAGAUGGAACUGAAGCCCUAUGAAUGCAGUGCAUGUGGGAAAUCCUUCUGUAAAAAGUCAAAGUUUAUCAUCCAUCAGAGGACUCACACAGGAGAGAAACCUUAUGAAUGUAAUCAGUGUGGGAAAUCCUUCUGCCAGAAGGGGACCCUCACCGUCCAUCAGCGCACACACACAGGGGAGAAGCCCUACGAAUGUAAUGAAUGUGGGAAAACCUUCUACCAGAAGUUACACCUCAUUCAACAUCAGAGAACUCACUCAGGAGAGAAGCCCUAUGAAUGUAGUUACUGUGGAAAAUCCUUUUGCCAGAAGACACACCUCACACAACACCAGAGAACACAUUCAGGAGAGAGACCCUACGUUUGUCACGACUGUGGAAAAACCUUCUCCCAGAAGUCAGCACUGAAUGACCAUCAGAAAAUUCACACAGGCGUGAAACUCUACAAGUGUAAUGAAUGUGGGAAGUGUUUCUGCCGGAAGUCUACACUCACCACACAUCAGAGGACGCACACUGGAGAGAAGCCCUACGAAUGUAACGAGUGCGGGAAAUUCUUCUCGCGGUUGUCCUAUCUCACCGUACACUACAGGACUCAUUCGGGAGAGAAGCCCUACGAAUGUAACGAGUGUGGGAAAACAUUCUACCUGAACUCAGCCCUCAUGAGACAUCAGCGAGUACACACCGGAGAGAAACCGUACGAAUGUACCGAGUGUGGAAAACUCUUCUCUCAGCUGUCGUACCUCACAAUACAUCACAGAACUCACUCAGGAGUGAAACCCUAUGAAUGUAACGAGUGUGGGAAGACCUUCUACCAGAACUCUGCCCUUUGCAGACAUCGGAGAAUACAUAAAGGAGAGAAGCCCUACGAAUGUUACAUAUGCGGAAAGUUCUUCUCUCAGAUGUCGUACCUCACCAUCCACCAUCGAAUCCAUUCAGGAGAGAAGCCCUAUGAAUGUAAUGAGUGUGGGAAAACCUUCUGCCAGAAUUCAGCCCUUAAUAGACAUCAGAGGACACACACAGGAGAGAAAGCCUAUGAGUGUUACGAGUGUGGGAAGUUCUUCUCUCAGAUGUCCUAUCUCACCAUCCACCACCGGAUCCAUUCGGGAGAGAAGCCCUUUGAAUGUAAUGAAUGUGGAAAAGCCUUCUCUCGGAUGUCCUACCUCACUGUGCACUAUAGGACUCAUUCCGGAGAGAAGCCCUAUGAAUGUAAUGAGUGUGGGAAAAAAUUCUACCACAAAUCAGCCUUCAAUAGCCAUCAGAGGAUUCACAGGAGAGGGAAUGUGAAUGUGCUGGAUGUGGGGAGGCUUCUGUGAAGUCGGAGAACCUUUCAGUGUGACGAGAGGGAGAUGCCUACCGACGUAUGUCAGAGCUCACACAGGUGUUGUGCACAAGCCUUUGUGUUAGACUCGAAGCCCGAAAGUUCAUGAGGUAGAAACCACAGUUGUAACAAGACCGCAGGACUUGUCGGAUGCCAGACUAUACUGGAGUAAAAAUCUGUAAGUAUUUAGAACGCAUAUGCACUUCACCGUGGACUCAGACUUUUACACAUCAGGGAAUUCAUACCAAGGGAAAAACCUCUCCAUUUUAAAGAAGGUGGGAAACCUACUCCUUUGGAAAUUAUUAAUAUUAAAUGUUAUGUUUUUGAUGUAGUAUCAAGCUUCGUGAAAACAAAAAUACAGAAGAUGAAGAUACUUGUGUAAAUAGAAGCUGUAAAAUCAGCUGCCAGUAAUCAAGACCACAGCCUAGCAACCUCACACUCACACGGGAGUGGUUCCUGGGAAUGUAGGACUUACGUUGUUGAGGGGUUUUCAGUUUGCUUGCUUGCUUUUUAGGAAGCUACAUUACAGGAAGUGUAUGUUCAGUUUGAAUCAUGUUUGAAAAGCCAUUGUAUCGUCAUUAGAGUCAUUUGUAAGACAUGGUAAGAUUAUCCAUUUUAAAUAGCCCCACCGUGUUAGUACCCUGAUAGCCUGAUGCGGUCUCUGAACCAACCUCUGAUAGUCUCAAGUACGCGGCUUCUCGUACUCUUGCCUGGCAUUUAUAAACGUCUUUGAUCGUUGUUAACGAAUGAAGUCUUCUGUAAAGGAGUCAGUGUUUUUAUAACAUGUUCAACUGUACCUGAGUCAGCAAGAGUUAGAAAUCUACACAUAAGAUAGAAAAGUGCACACAUAAUUUUAAGUUGUUAAUGCCGGACAUUUCCACUAGGAAGCACCUGUAGUGCUCAUUGUACUCUAUACAGUUAUAUUUACUUAAAAUAUUUAAGUACUUAAGGUUUUUCCAUUUAUAUCAGUUUUUUUUUUCCAUUGGUUUUGUUUGGAUGCUUACAGAAGUGUGCAGAGCACACAUUCUAUGUAACUUAGGAAUUAUCUGUAUUUUUAUUUGAUAGGAUAGUGUUUUUAAAUAUUGUCUACUCCUUCCUGAAUGAAGAACUCUUCCUAUGGGUUUGUGGCAGACACUGUUGAGUAACCCUGGUGACUCACUCCUUACUGUUUGCUGGUGGAGUUUGGGGAUCCAUUCCUCCCUGUGGAAUGGGGGGAAAAUCCUGACUAGUUUCAACUAAUAAUGAUAAUCCCUUUCUCAUUGCCAGCAAUUGGUUUAGAAUGGUCACAGGACCCAGUUCUAUGCAGAUAAAGGAGAUACCAUCUGACAGGUGAUUUCUGGAAACAGUUCCCUUAAAGGUUCGAGGAAUGAAUCCUGCAGGGUGAAGUAGAGUCUUUGUUGAGCAUUGCCUUCACUGCACGUGAUGCCUGCCUGUGUCUUUCAACACGGAAGUAGAAUUUAAGCAUGGCAGAGAGAAAGACGGGGAGAACCAGGGACUUGGACAAUGUGAAGCCACUGAACCACCCAGCCGUGUAGCCCCUCGGCCUCUGGACUGUUGCUUCUGUAGUGGACGAAAUUCACCUUGGAGCCAGUUGCUGUAGGUUGCUGUUAGGGAUAGCUGAAAAUAGAGAGGUAUACCUUUGUAGGAAUUAUGCAGUUGAGAAGUGGACUUUAGGUAAAUCACUUAUUUAGAAGUACUGAUAGAGGUCGAUCUUAUUUUCUGUAAAUUUUGAUGUAAAUAGUUUGAGCACUACGAAUCAACCUGAAACAAUUAAAUGUGUUUCCGUGAAUGGUUACAUCACUGACCUAAGAACCCUUAGAGCCCAAUAACAGCGAUGUCAGAUACACCUUCCUUUUUACAAUGCAUGACAUUACAUUUUGUUUAGGUUAAUUUGUUAUUCAUGGAUCAUCACUCCACUCUUCGUUCACAAUAUACACUGUGGAGGUCAAAUUGAAGAUGUGGUGUUAACAACGGGGGCCCUAUCUUCUCAGAGACCCUGAGUCACCCUCUUCUCUGUUCCAUGGUCAUGUGCCUGGCUGUGCUGUGCAGUCAAGCACCCCAGGCAAGGCUGUAUAAUCCACAUGACUACAGCCCAGGUAGCUGCCCGCUUUAUAGAAUGCCUGCAAAUAAAACAAGCAAAUUCCUUUUCAUCACGGGACUACAUCAGAUAAAUUGCUUUUCCUUUCCCUGAAUUUAAAGUCUGUGAUCCCUGCCAAAUUGACAAAUUCAUUCCCAGAGCCCAACUCUGGGCCUGCCAUAGAAGUAAGAGCAGUUCGCGGGUCCAGGGAGCUGCAGUGGGGGCGCCUGGGGGGCUGUGAGCAGAGACAUUAGAGAGGCAGGUGCUAGCAGCUGUCCACUGUCAUGCCCAGCACGGGGCCUUCAUGACCCAGAAGGCAGGUGCAUCAGUUCCGUCCAGCUGAGAGGAGGGGUGCACUCAACAUGCACACGCCUGGAGCAGCCUCUUCUCGCUACAGGGCCAAGUGCUUACAGUAAGUAGGCACAUGUUUCUGGAUGGAGGAGGACCGUGCCGAGAGGAGAGGAUCUAUCGGGAAAGGGGUUCCUCCUCACUGGGGGCGUGGUUUCUCUUCUGUAAUACACAGGUCUACUGAAGCCACCCUGAGGAGCAGGAACUGGGGAUUAGACCUUCGCCCUGCUACUCGUACCAUCCUAGAUUUGCAGAACUUAUUAUAAGGAGUUAGUUACUAAGAGCACAUCGUACGUCUCCACAACUGGCAAGGUUAAUGGGAUGUAGAAAUCCGGAUUUCAAAAUUGUCUUAGAAGACAUCCUUAAUUAGUUAUAGGAAGCAGGAACAGUUACUCUGAAAGAGGUAGGGGACAGGGCAUGGACACAGCCAUAAAACCAGUUAGUGGGCUGUGUGGUAACAGGAGGGGUUUGCCUGGGAUACCAGGAAGAAAAAAGAGAUGCUUGUGAAAAAUGAAACACUGAGACCAGAAGACAGCACACAUAAUACCCAUAUCCCCGGGUUCUUAAGACAGGAUGGGAAGAAAAUUAUGAAUUAAAAAUUUCUCAAUUAAAAAAAAAGCUUUUGUGAUGCCAAAUGGAAAGGGACAGAAAAAUCUCAGGUCUGUAAAGCAAAGUUAAUUUAAUCUAAAGAUCAAUAACUAGAAUACAUGAGGAGAUCCAGCAAAGUAGCAAGAAAGGGCAGUGCUUGGAAACCUCUGUCAUUAGAAAUACACACGUUAAACCAAUGACAUACCCCUUACAGUGAUCAGAGGGGCAGAAAUGACAGUGACGUGUAAUAUCAGUAAGGAUGUGAAUGAUAAUUGCUGAUAUCUGUAGACUGUAGAAGUGAGUUAACUGACCUGGAAAUGCCUUUUAAAAUUCACAUGUGUGUCUUCUUGUGCAGUGGUGCUAAUAUGCUUUUCUGUCCCAGAAAAAUUCUGUACACACGUGGAUGUAUGUACAAGGAAAGGCAAGUAAAGCGCAGACCAGGCAGUGGACGGCUUGCUCUCCACCAGUUAGGAGCAUAGACUGUAUCUGCACAUAGAACAUGACACCACACACAAACUCCCCUGCACAGGCUACAGUGGGGUGGGCUUGAGGUCAUAGACUGACCCUGUGUGAAUGGGGGGAGAAUGGAAUCGGGGUUUGGAAUGAAGAGAAGAACCAGGUCAAGAAUGGUUUCCAUGCAGCAACUGAUAUUGAAAAUAAAUGUUUUGAACUGAGUGGUAUGAUAAACACUGUUCCCCAGGACUCCAGAAACAUUAAAACAUGAAAAUUAAAGGACCAGAGAAAUAAAAAUCCUCAGUGUUUUAUGCUUUUCAGUUUUAGCCAGAGUGUCACAGCCCAGGUGCCUAAGUAAGGUCUGUGUCCUUUCUGGCAACUUUACCCCAAGCCAACUUCUAGUAAAAUGUAGCUGCUCCAUUUUUUGGUCAAUCUGUACUUUUAAAAAAAAAAUUUUUUUUAAGGCUCUGGGCCCAGCGUGGGGCUUGAACUCACAGCCCC